rnacentral:rRNA from 1 species
UGGGGAAUAUUGCACAAUGGGGGAAACCCUGAUGCAGCGACGCCGCGUGAAGGAAGAAGUAUUUCGGUAUGUAAACUUCUAUCAGCAGGGAAGAUAAUGACGGUACCUGACUAAGAAGCCCCGGCUAACUACGUGCCAGCAGCCGCGGUAAUACGUAGGGGGCAAGCGUUAUCCGGAUUUACUGGGUGUAAAGGGAGCGUAGGCGGCAAGAUAAGUCAGAAGUGAAAGCCCGAGGCUCAACCUCGGGACUGCUUUUGAAACUGUCUGGCUAGAUUUCAGGAGAGGAAAGCGGAAUUCCUAGUGUAGCGGUGAAAUGCGUAGAUAUUAGGAGGAACACCAGUGGCGAAGGCGGCUUUCUGGACUGAUAAUGACGCUGAGGCUCGAAAGCGUGGGGAGCAAACAGGAUUAGAUACCCUGGUA